rnacentral:lncRNA from 10 species
GGACUGAAGACAAAAGAAACUAUGGGCUGCUCUCUCUUUCCCUUUCUUUCUAUGUCACCAUUUUCACUUAAGUGGUUGGUCGAUACAAGGAAUUAACACUAAUGCUAUGUGCAAAUGGGAUAGGAAGAAAUGGCAGCAUGCAUUAUGCACACCUCUCCUCUGCUCAGACUCAAAUUAUCGAAACUUCAGAGGAAAAAUUUAAACUUUCCUACACCAGAAUCAGCUUGAGAGAAGAACCUAGUUGCCACCCCAGCCAGAGGGUUCCUGUGGAAGCCACCAGCACAUUGAGAGAAGGGAAAAUGUGGUUAUUCUGCAUCCAUUUUACUGCAAGGAGAUCGGGGCUGACGUGGCUGGCCA